GGGUGAUUUGGAUUCAUACUUGCCACCUUCCUGACUAGCAGUGCAGCUCCUGGCUGGGGUUUGGUCAUCUGUGGACUGCUGCAGAAAGGAAGGCUCCUCGUGCUGAGAAUCCUUCCAAAAGAAGAGUUUUAAAUUCAGCAUUGUCAUAAGCCAUACCAGGAAGCUAGCUGACCUUCCUCUGCUGGGGAAGGGUAAAGCACCCAGCCACGUCCCUCCCAUCUGCUCUGCAUCACCUUGGGCUGUUGCACAGAGUGAGAACGCUCACGGUUCUUUCAGUGUGAAGUCUGGAGACUUUGCACGCUUCCCUGGGUUCCUGGACAAGCACCCUGUUUACUUUCAUCUGAAAUAAAUGUUUCAUCACAGAAAAUGAGAUCGUGUCAGCAAAGGGUGAACUUCUCUCUUGCUUACUAAGAUGUAAUUAAGAGUUAUGGAGCUCUGUGCCUUGGUAACCUGGAACUGUGAUUCAAGCAGGCAUGUCAAGCUCUGUCCUGAAAGCUGCCUUCCAGACAGACACAACCCUGUGUGAAGCUCAGGAUCCCCUUCUGCAACUCUGGCUUCAGGCUGUGCAAAGCAGCUGUCCUGCUAGCAUUCACCAGUCCAUCCCACUGCCAUACCAGGCACAAACUGCACCCCACAGCUGCCUGGGUGAUAGAAGUAACUCCCCUGUGUCCUACCACAAGAGCUUGUUCCUCUGUGUUCAGCUUGAUGUCAUAACUGUGCAUACUUGAAGGCAAGAGUCAAAGGCAAGCAGAUCUUCCAAGCUCUUGGAAGAGCAGAGGAAUAGAUAUGUUGCAUAUGCUUGCACUGCUGAUGAGGCUUGUACCACUUUUCUCCACUGAGUUAUUCCUUCACCAUGAAUGAAGAUGUGUUAGACCAAAGCGUAUCGUUUAUCUGCUUAAAAAACUAUUUUGACAAAUACCUGCUUAUAGUCUUACAGCUUAGGAGUACGGGUUUUCUUCUCUCCCUCUUUUCUUUUCUUCUCAAUAAUAAAUCUUUCAU
ensembl:lncRNA